rnacentral:rRNA from 1 species
GACGAACGCUGGCGGCGUGCUUAACACAUGCAAGUCGAACGGAAAGGCCCUGCUUGCGUGGGGUGCUCGAGUGGCGAACGGGUGAGUAACACGGGAGUAACCUGCCCUUCACUUUGGGAUGACUUCGGGAAACUGGGGCUAAUCCCGGAUAGGAGCUCCUGCUGCAUGGGGGGGGUUGGAAAGUUUGGGCGGGUGGGGGUGGCCGGCCGGCUUUUCGGCUUGUGGGGGGGGGGGUGGCUUACCAAGGCUUGGGCGGGUAGCCGGCCUGGGAGGGUGACCGGCCACAUUGGGCCUGGGAUCCGGCCCAGCCCCCUCCGGGGGGCAGAAGUGGGGAAUAUUGCCCAAUGGGCGGAAGCCUGAUGAAGCACCGCCGCGUGCGGGAUGACGGCCUUCGGGUUGUAAACCGCUUUCGCCUGUGACGAAGCGUGAGUGACGGUACUGGGUAAAGAAGCACCGGCUAACUACGUG